rnacentral:rRNA from 1 species
GGAAAAGAAACCAACUGGGAUUACCUUAGUAACGGCGAGUGAAGCGGUAAAAGCUCAAAUUUGAAAUCUGGUACUUUCAGUGCCCGAGUUGUAAUUUGUAGAAUUUGUCUUUGAUUAGGUCCUUGUCUAUGUUCCUUGGAACAGGACGUCAUAGAGGGUGAGAAUCCCGUUUGGCGAGGAUACCUUUUCUCUGUAAGACUUUUUCGAAGAGUCGAGUUGUUUGGGAAUGCAGCUCAAAGUGGGUGGUAAAUUCCAUCUAAAGCUAAAUAUUGGCGAGAGACCGAUAGCGAACAAGUACAGUGAUGGAAAGAUGAAAAGAACUUUGAAAAGAGAGUGAAAAAGUACGUGAAAUUGUUGAAAGGGAAGGGCAUUUGAUCAGACAUGGUGUUUUUUGCAUGCACUUGCCUCUCGUGGGCUUGGGCCUCUCAAAAAUUUCACUGGGCCAACAUCAAUUCUGGCAGUAGGAUAAAUCAUUAAGAAUGUAGCUACCUCGGUAGUGUUAUAGCUUAUUGGAAUACUGCUAGCUGGGAUUGAGGACUGCGCUUCGGCAAGGAUGUU